GGAAGAAAGCUUGCUUUCUUUGCCGGCGACCGGCGCACGGGUGAGUAACACGUAUCCAACCUGCCCUUUACUCGGGGAUAGCCUUUCGAAAGAAAGAUUAAUACCCGAUAGCAUAAUGAUUCCGCAUGGUUUCAUUAUUAAAGGAUUCCGGUAAAGGAUGGGGAUGCGUUCCAUUAGGUUGUUGGUGAGGUAACGGCUCACCAAGCCUUCGAUGGAUAGGGGUUCUGAGAGGAAGGUCCCCCACAUUGGAACUGAGACACGGUCCAAACUCCUACGGGAGGCAGCAGUGAGGAAUAUUGGUCAAUGGGCGCUAGCCUGAACCAGCCAAGUAGCGUGAAGGAUGAAGGCUCUAUGGGUCGUAAACUUCUUUUAUAUAAGAAUAAAGUGCAGUAUGUAUACUGUUUUGUAUGUAUUAUAUGAAUAAGGAUCGGCUAACUCCGUGCCAGCAGCCGCGGUAAUACGGAGGAUCCGAGCGUUAUCCGGAUUUAUUGGGUUUAAAGGGAGCGUGAGGUGGACUGGUAAGUCAGUUGUGAAAGUUUGCGGCUCAACCGUAAAAUUGCAGUUGAUACUGUCAGUCUUGAGUACAGUAGAGGUGGGCGGAAUUCGUGGUGUAGCGGUGAAAUGCUUAGAUAUCACGAAGAACUCCGAUUGCGAAGGCAGC
rnacentral:rRNA from 1 species